rnacentral:ncRNA from 1 species
GACAAGGGGAAUCCGACUAUUUAAUUAAAACAAAGCAUUGUGAUGGUCCCUAUGGAUGCUAACACAAUGUAAUUUUAUGCCCAGUGCUUUGCAUGUCAAAGUGAAUAAAUUCAACCAAGAAUGGGUAAACGAUGGGAGAAACUAUGAAUCUCUUAAGGUAGCCAGAUGUCUUGUCAUCUAAUUAGGGACAUGCAUGAAUGGAUUAAUGUCAUUCCC